UACGUAGGGUGCGAGCGUUAAUCGGAAUUACUGGGCGUAAAGCGUGCGCAGGCGGUUUUGUAAGACAGGUGUGAAAUCCCCGGGCUCAACCUGGGAACUGCAUUUGUGACUGCAUGGCUAGAGUACGGUAGAGGGGGAUGGAAUUCCGCGUGUAGCAGUGAAAUGCGUAGAUAUGCGGAGGAACACCGAUGGCGAAGGCAAUCCCCUGGACCUGUACUGACGCUCAUGCACGAAAGCGUGGGGAGCAAACAGG
rnacentral:rRNA from 1 species